rnacentral:rRNA from 1 species
CGGCGAGCGCGGUGCCAGCUGGCGGGGUGAUACGGGGGGGUGGGGCGUUGGCCGGAAUCGCUGGGCGUAAAGGGCGCGUAGGUGGCCCGUUAAGUGGCCGGUGAAAUCCCGCGGCUCAACCACGGUGCUGCCGGUAAGACUGGGGGGCUCGAGCACGGUAGAGGCAGAUGGAAUUCCCGGUGUAGCGGUGGAAUGCGUAGAGAUCGGGAAGAACACCAGUGGCGAAGGCGUUCUGCUGGGCCGUUGCUGACACUGAGGCGCGACAGCGUGGGGAGCAAACAGGAUUAGAUACCCGUGUAUC